rnacentral:rRNA from 1 species
UACGUAGGGUGCAAGCGUUGUCCGGAAUUAUUGGGCGUAAAGAGCUCGUAGGCGGUCUGUCGCGUCUGCUGUGAAACUCAGGGCUUAACCCUGAGCUUGCAGUGGGUACGGGCAGACUAGAGGUAGGUAGGGGAGAAUGGAAUUCCCGGUGUAGCGGUGAAAUGCGCAGAUAUCAGGAGGAACACCGGUGGCGAAGGCGGCAUCCUGGACCGAACACUGACGCUGAGGAGCGAAAGCCAGGGGAGCAAACGGG